rnacentral:misc_RNA from 1 species
GAGAGAGAGAGAGAGAGAUUAGGAGAGGCUUUGUGGGUUUCUCUUGCACAUGCCACUAGCGAGGCACCCAACAAGUGAAAAAGGAGUCUCUCUAUCUCUCUCUGUCUCACCAAGACACAAGGAGAGAGAGAGAGAAAGUGGUUGGCAGGGAUUAGUCAACAUGGUAAUAUAUCAAUACCAUGUUAUGAUAAACUUCUUGAAUUCUAAUAAAACAAAAAAAGAAAAGGAAAAAAGAAAAAAAAUCAUAGCUUGAAAUUGGUGCUCUAUGAUUGAAUUCACAAAAAGCAUGCAAAAUGCAAGUGGGA